rnacentral:rRNA from 1 species
AUUGAACGCUGGCGGCAGGCCUAACACAUGCAAGUCGAACGAGUGGCGGACGGGUGAGUAAUGUCUGGGAAACUGCCUGAUGGAGGGGGAUAACUACUGGAAACGGUAGCUAAUACCGCAUACCAUCGGAUGUGCCCAGAUGGGAUUGGCUAGUAGGUGGGGUAACGGCUCACCUAGGCGACGAUCCCUAGCUGGUCUGAGAGGAUGACCAGCCACACUGGAAAUGAGACAUGGUCAAGACUCCUACGGGAGGAAGCAGUGGGGAAUAUUGCACAAUGGGGGAAAGCCUGAUGCACCCAUGCCGCGUGUAUGAAGAGGGCUUUCGGGUUGUAAAGUACUUUCAGCGGGGAGGCGUUACCGGCAGAAGAAGCACCGGUUAACUCCGUGCCAGCAGCCGCGGUAAUA